rnacentral:rRNA from 1 species
AGUGAACGCUGGCGGUAGGCCUAACACAUGCAAGUCGAACGGCAGCACAGUAAGAGCUUGCUCUUACGGGUGGCGAGUGGCGGACGGGUGAGGAAUACAUCGGAAUCUACUUUUUCGUGGGGGAUCACGUAGGGAAACUUACGCUAAUACCGCAUACGACCUACGGGUGAAAGCAGGGGAUCUUCGGACCUUGCGCGAUUGAAUGAGCCGAUGUCGGAUUAGCUAGUUGGCGGGGUAAAGGCCCACCAAGGCGACGAUCCGUAGCUGGUCUGAGAGGAUGGUCAGCCACACUGGAACUGAGACACGGUCCAGACUCCUAAGGGAGGCAGCAGUGGGGAAUAUUGGACAAUGGGCGCAAGCCUGAUCCAGCCAUCCCGCGUGGGUGAAGAAGGCCUUCGGGUUGUAAAGCCCUUUUGUUGGGAAAGAAAAGCAGCAGGUUAAUACCCCGCUGUUCUGACGGUACCCAAAGAAUAAGCACCGGCUAACUUCGUG